rnacentral:rRNA from 1 species
UACGUAGGCAGCAAGCGUUUGUUCGGAAUUACUGGGCGUAAAGAGUGUGUAGGCGGCCAACUAAGUCCGACGUGAAAUCCCCAGGCUUAACCUGGGAACUGCGUCGGAUACUGGAUGGCUUGAAUCCGGGAGAGGGAUGCAGAAUUCCAGGUGUAGCGGUGAAAUGCGUAGAUAUCUGGAGGAAUACCGGUGGCGAAGGCGGCAUCCUGGACCGGCAUUGACGCUGAGGAGCGAAAGCUAGGGGAGCAAACGGGG